UACGUAGGGUGCAAGCGUUGUCCGGAAUUAUUGGGCGUAAAGAGCUCGUAGGCGGUUUGUCGCGUCGGCUGUGAAAACUCGGGGCUCAACCCCGAGCCUGCAGUCGAUACGGGCAGACUAGAGUGCUGUAGGGGAGACUGGAAUUCCUGGUGUAGCGGUGAAAUGCGCAGAUAUCGGGAAGAACACCCGUGGCGAAGGCGGCUCUCUGGGACGGUACUGACGCUGAGACGCGAAAGCGUGGGGAGCGAACAGG
rnacentral:rRNA from 1 species